rnacentral:rRNA from 1 species
GCCUAACACAUGCAAGUCGUACGAGAGUUUUCGGACUCUAGUGGCGGACGGGUGAGUAACACGUGAGAAUUUGCCUUUAGGAGGGGGAUAACAAUUGGAAACGAAUGCUAAUACCCCAUAUGCUUUCGAGUGAAACGGAUUUAUCCGCCUAAAGAGAAGCUCGCGGCUGAUUAGCUUGUUGGUAAGGUAAGAGCUUACCAAGGCGACGAUCAGUAUCUGGUUUGAGAGGACGAUCAGACACACUGGAACUGAGACACGGUCCAGACUCCUACGGGAGGCAGCAGUGGGGAAUUUUCCGCAAUGGGCGAAAGCCUGACGGAGCAAUACCGCGUGAGGGAUGACUGCCUAUGGGUUGUAAACCUCUUUUUUCAGGGAGGAAUAAAUGACGUGUACCUGAAGAAUAAGCAUCGGCUAACUCCGUGCCAGCAGCCGCGGUAAGACGGAGGAUGCAAGUGUUAUCCGGAAUCACUGGGCGUAAAGCGUCUGUAGGUGGCUUAAUAAGUCAACUGUUAAAUCUUGAGGCUCAACUUCGAAAUCGCAGUCGAAACUAUUAGGCUAGAGUAUAGUAGAGGUAAAGGGAAUUUCCAGUGGAGCGGUGAAAUGCGUAGAUAUUGGAAAGAACACCGAUGGCGAAAGCACUUUACUGGGCUAUUACUAACAC